GGCUGCAAAUACAGAUUAACAUUAGCAGAGAGGUUUGACUGCACAGAGACCAUAAUAAAUCAAUUGCUUGCAGACUCAUAAAACCCUAUCAGUGAGUGGCAAGUGACAAUUAAGCUGUAUCUGGUGGCAGGCUUUAAGUCAGAAUCCAACACUUAUUUUAGUCCGUGCGUGGCCCACCCGUUAUUUUAUUUACCACUUCCGUUCGCGCCUCUUUCCCGCACUGCGCACUUGUCUCAGUCACAGUUUUGGUAAGCCCACAAGCUAAACCUAGCCAAAAUGAGUAAAAAACAAACGUCGCUGGAGAGCUUCUUUGAAAAGGGGGAAAGACCCAAUGAUGAGACAGCAGAAGACCAAGACUGCCAACAAAAAGAAAGCUGCAUUUAAAAGAAAAUACUAAGAGUCCUACUUAAAUUAUGGGUUCAUUGCAACAGGUUAUUCACAUUCUUCUGGGACCAUCUAGUUGCAGGAAAACAAGCUCAGGGCUCCCACUGAUUCUGCAUUAUGGGUCUACAUUUGAUUUGACAGUGAAGCGAUUUUCAGCUGAACUGCUUUCAAAAUCAACCUGCACAACAAGACGUAUUUAGCUAACUGUGAGUCAGUGGAAGGUGGAACCAUGGCAUGAAGUGAGGCUGAACCUGAUGGACAGGUCCCCAGAGGCCACCCCACAACAAUUCUUCGGAGUAAUGGAGUGCCAUCUACUAGAUCAGACAAACAAUUACAGCAUGGUCAUAACACAGAUGGUGUUGAGAUUGUCGGGAGACCACUGAGAGGGGAACGUCAAAGGGAAGUACCGAAGAGUAAACUCUGCCUUCAUUUGUUUUCUCUGAUUCUUUUGUGUUUUGUGAUUUCUUCCUCCCCAGAUUCUGACUGUUCUUUACCAAUUUGCAGUAGAUUAUGAGCAAUAAGACAGCCUGCUCAGCAGACUUAGCAUAUCCAAGCAGACAUUAAAAACUAAAGAACUUCUUGAGGAAGAAAUCAGAUUGCCCUAUUAAUAAGAAAAGAAUAAUAGGACUUUAGAGAUCAUGGAUAUCGUGUAUCUGAAAUGUCUGUGCUACU